GGCGGUAUAGCCAAGUGGUAAGGCAGGGGAUUGCAAAUCCUUUACCCCCCGUUCAAAUCGGGGUAUCGCCU
rnacentral:tRNA from 1 species